rnacentral:rRNA from 1 species
AUGCGGAAGGUCCGGGCGUUAUCCGGAUUUAUUGGGUUUAAAGGGAGCGCAGGCGGAGAUGCAAGCGUGACGUCAAAUUUCGGGGCUCAACCCCGUCUCGCGUCGCGAACUGCGUCCCUUGGUUGCGGGAAGGGGAGGCGGAACUCGUGGUGUAGCGGUGAAAUGCAUAGAUAUCACGAAGAACUCCGAUCGCGAAGGCAGCCUUCCGGCCCGUCAACGACGCUCAUGCUCGAAGGUGCGGGUAUCAAACAGGAUUAGAUACCCUGGUAGUCCGCACAGUAAACGAUGGACACCCGCGGUUUGGCCUGUAUGGCUGAGCCGCCAAGCGAAAGCGUUAAGUGUCCCACCUGGGGAGUACGCCGGCAACGGUGAAACUCAAAUGAAUUGACGGGG